UACGUAGGCAGCAAGCGUUGUUCGGAAUUAUUGGGCGUAAAGCGCGCGCAGGCGGCCUCUUAAGUCUGAUGUGAAAUCUUGCGGCUCAACCGCAAGCGGCCAUUGGAAACUGGGGGGCUUGAGUACAGAAGAGGAGAGUGGAAUUCCACGUGUAGCGGUGAAAUGCGUAGAUAUGUGGAGGAACACCAGUGGCGAAGGCGACUCUCUGGUCUGUAACUGACGCUGAGGCGCGAAAGCGUGGGGAGCAAACAGG
rnacentral:rRNA from 1 species